CCCUAGCCCUGAUAGCAGUGGUUACCCCACAGCAUGGAAUGGCUCUUUUAAGAAUGCCCGGGCGCGAGGAGUAUGAACGGAUAGCAGGAAGCAGC
rnacentral:misc_RNA from 1 species